rnacentral:lncRNA from 1 species
ACGCCCUCCAAUAUUUAGGCGACACUUGUUAUUUGUCAAAACAGAUGUUCAAAUGAGAAACUGCAACGUGGAAUAUGGGUCUGAUCUUUUGUAAGAACUAAGAAUUGUUGGAGACGAGGAGCUGUGUCUAUUGCAGGUGGUCGACACCAAUAAAAGCUAGAGCUGAUUCUGGCUUGGGAAAUGAAGGAGCAAAUUUCCUUUACUACCUAGAAAUGAC